AUGCAUGCGCCUGGUAGAAUCUCUGCACACACAAAGCAUGCGCUUGCAGACAAGGAAUCUCACAAGAAUUUAUGCCCUAAUAGUCCAAACAGACGCCCAUUCCCUAGACGCAUAAAGCAACCUAGGCGCCAAGACCAUGGGUGCCCCUUCAUGAAAAAAAUACCUAGGCGCCAAGACCAUGAGUGCCUCUUCAUUGCAUGUGAUUAUUCACAUGCAUGCGCCAAGACCAUGAGCG
rnacentral:lncRNA from 1 species